rnacentral:lncRNA from 1 species
GGUUAAUUUCUAAGUAUUUAAUUUUUCUUGAGGCUAUUGUGAAUGGUAUUGUUUUUCUAAUUUCUUUUCUGGUGAGUUUAUUAUUGAUGUACAGGAACACUAUUGAUUUUUGUGUGUUGACUUUGCCUCCUGCUAUGCUACUGAAUUGGAUAUUAAUUCUAGGAGUCUUGAGUGGAACUUUUUGGGUAUUCUAUGUAAAGGAUCCUGUCAUCUGCAAAUAAUAAUACUUUGACUUCUUCCUUUCCUUUGUGUGUCCCUUUUAUUUCUUUCUCUUGCAUGAUUGUUUUGGCAAAUCUUUUGAAAACUAUACUGAACAAUAGUGAUGAUAGCAGACAUCCUUGUCUUGUUCUUGAUUUGAGAGAGAGAGAGAGAGAGAGAGAGAGGGAGAGAGAUAAAGAAAGAGAGAAAGAGAGAGACAGAGAAAGCUCUCAGUUUUCCCAAGCCCAUUUAAUAUGAUGUUGACUCUUGAUUUGCUAUAAAUGGCUUUCAUUGGAUUGAGAUAAGGUCCUUCUAUAGCUAUUUUCUUCAGUUUUUUUUAAAAUCAUGAAUGAAUGUUGGAUUUUCUCAAACCCUUUUUUUUUCUGAAUCAAUUGAGGUUAUGUGAUUUUUGAUUGUGUGGUGCUAGAGCAAAAGGACUGCAGAGGUGAAAAAUGGAACACCGUGCACGGCUAACGGCCUCUUGCACUCAUUAAACUCAGCUGGUCCAAUGGAAACCUGUGUCUAUCAGACCUCGUACAUGCUUGUGCAACUUGUGGCCAGAGGAGCAGGAGCAGCGAGUCAUGCGAGAUGGUGGCCAGUCCCUUCCCUCCCUGUACUCACUGCAGAGUCAGUUCAAUCAGCAGCAGAGAACAGAAGUGUGUCACUCAUCCAUCAGCCCUUGCCUUGCAAGGACAAUUUUGGAAGAAGCCCAGUGGGUCUCUGAGAUGUUUCUUCCUCUUUGAUUCUGGGGAGAAAGCGAUGGGCUAUGUCCCCAGGGAAGACAACACCCACUGGUACACAAGAAGCACUUCUAAUUUGUUGAAUGAAAAACGGAGCUGUCGCAUGAACUCCUUGCUUGUUUUCAACCUGUUAUUUCUUCUGUUUGCAAGGCUUUCGGUAAGAGUUGGCAUGAUUUCAGCUUCCAGUUAAGGAAAGGAUAGCAGGCUUUAUUUUACAUAAAUUGAAAGCCAUUUCUGAACAACAACAUGAUACCAUUAAGGCUUCACAACUGAUGAAGAAAACAAAUCCUAUAUUCUGAUCGCCUUUGUGCUGCGACUUCCCAUGCCCUAAUUCAACACUGUUUUGCUUAGCAGACUCCUUUUAUUAAAAAGAAAGACAUGGCUUAAACAAUAUGGAAGUUUAUGUGCUCACAUUACCGAGGUUGCCAUAUUCUUGCAUCUGAAUGAUGGCCUUGAGUUUGCAGAUGCCUACUGUUUUCCUCACUGACAUCUGGCAUCACCAUAUGGAUACCUUGUGUGCUUUGCCUCACAUCCUCCCAGUCCACUUUAAUCUAGGAGUCAGCUGUGCAUAGGAGUAGCAGCAGCCUGCCUUUGUUGUACCUGUCUGCCCCAGGGCAUUUGUAACGCCAGGUGUGGGACCCUCGUGGGAACCAACAUUGUGACUAUCUGAACAGCGGCGCAUAAGCAAAGCUGCAC